GGCCGCCAGCCCAUCUUUGCGUGUCUUGGAGUCGGGUUGUUUGGGAUCGCAGCCCAAAGCAGGUGGUAAACUUCAUCUAAGACUGAAUAUGACUACGAGUCCGAUAGCGAACAAGUACCGUGAGGGAAAGUUGCAAAGCACUUUGAAGAGAGAGUUAAAGAGGACGUGAAACCGAUGAGGUGGAAACGGACAGAGCUGGCGUAUCUGGCCUGUAUUCAGCCGUGCGUCCGUUGGCGUCAGGGAUGCCGCUCUCCAGAUUGGGACGGUGGCCUGUCUGCUGGCGGAUGUGUGGUGCAUUUGCAGGUGGAGUGCGCUGAGGCGCUCGGGUCAGCGGCAUGAGCUCAGUGUUGAGGCCAGCCCCUCACGGGGUCUGGUACCCGCAUUGUGGGGAGUGCUGUUUGUCCUGGGUGUGUGGAGGGCAAUGGUUUCGGGUUCGUGUGGGUGCCGAGCUGGCAGUCGGUGGCGGUCGCGUGCGACACGUGCCAGCGGUCAGUUCGGUCCUGCUCGAGCUCUCAUCUGCUCGUCCUCGGUGUAAAAGCCGGUCAUCUGUCCGACCCGUCUUGAAACACGGA
rnacentral:rRNA from 1 species